AAGCAAAGCCGCGAGGUAGAGCAAAUCUCAAAAAAACAAUCUCAGUUCAGACUGCAGGCUGCAACUCGCCUGCACGAAGUCGGAAUUGCUAGUAAUCGUAGGUCAGCAUACUACGGUGAAUACGUUCCCGGGCCUUGUACACACCGCCCGUCAAACCAUGAGGGUUGGCAACACCCGAAGUCGGUAGUCUAACCGCAAGGAGGACGCCGCCGAAGGUGGGGUUGAUGAUUAGGGUUAAGUCGUAACAAGGUAUC
rnacentral:rRNA from 1 species